UGGUUUCCCGUAAAUGAGGCUGUGUGAUCAGCAGCUGAGCUUCUGGACUCCAGGAUUUUGAAGAAAUUGAUUUGGAGGGCAGUUUUACCCUGUGCCUAGGAGCCGGACAUGCCGGCAACUUCUGGGAGCCACACGGAGCCAGGACAGGCAGGGAGCCUGCCUGAGCUAUGCUACUUUGGGUGACGCCCACUGCUAACACUUCAGGUACAACAAUGGAAAAGUCAGACAGGGUGGAUGGCCCAUCACCGAGGACAAUGGACUGUGAAAAGGCUUGACCGGAGCCACUGACUCAUGGAGGCUGUGAUACUACAGAGUCAGGUGGUCUUGUCACCUGAUACUAAACAUUACCUGGGACUUCUUGUAACUUUCCACUGGAAGGGCUGGGACGGGGAGGGCGGGGGGGGGGGAGGUCAAGUCUGGGAAACAAAGAAUUCCCAUCUUAUGUAAAUCCUAUUUAAGGGUGAGGAGGAAGGCAAACGUGACUCAUCCUCUCCGUGGCCUGUCUGCCCAAGAAGAAAGACUGCUAAAAACACCUGAAGGGAAGGCAGUGAGGGAGUCAGUCUUAAAAGAUUUCAGA